GGAGGCAGCUAGCGUUCUGGUGAUGCUCACGGUCUUCAAAACCGAUGUGGGGAGUAUCCCUUCCCGGGUGGGUUCGAUUCCCAUCUGCCUCC
rnacentral:tRNA from 1 species